rnacentral:rRNA from 1 species
AGAGUUUGAUUCUGGCUCAGGAUGAACGCUAGCGACAGGCUUAACACAUGCAAGUCGAGGGGCAGCACGGGAGUAGCAAUACAACUGGUGGCGACCGGCGCACGGGUGAGUAACGCGUAUGCAACCUACCUAUCAGAGGGGAAUAACCCGGCGAAAGUCGGACUAAUACCGCAUAAAACAGGGGCACCGCAUGGUGAUAUUUGUUAAAGAAAUUCGCUGAUAGAUGGGCAUGCGUUCCAUUAGGUAGUUGGUGAGGUAACGGCUCACCAAGCCGACGAUGGAUAGGGGAACUGAGAGGUUGGUCCCCCACACUGGUACUGAGACACGGACCAGACUCCUACGGGAGGCAGCAGUGAGGAAUAUUGGUCAAUGGGCGGGAGCCUGAACCAGCCAAGUCGCGUGAAGGAAGAAGGAUCUAUGGUUCGUAAACUUCUUUUGCAGGGGAAUAAAGUGCAGGACGUGUCCUGUUUUGUAUGUACCCUGAGAAUAAGGAUCGGCUAACUCCGUGCCAGCCGCCGC